rnacentral:misc_RNA from 1 species
CAAGUUGCGCGUGCAUGCGUGUCACUGCCCGCCAUCUCUAGCCCUCCCUCCCCGCCUUCUCCUCUUUUCUGUUCUAAAGUUUCUUUUUAUUCGACAUAUUUCGAAUCUGCCCAUUGAUCAGCGCAUCUGUCUUUCUCCUGCCUCCAUCCCCCUCCCCUGAGCCGUGCCGUAGCUUCGGAGGAAAAAUUUUUUUUCGUGCUUUUCACUCAUCACCUCGCGAGCUUUUUAUUCGAUCAGCCCCGCGCACGUUUUUGCGUGGGCUUGUGCUUUACGGGCCCCUCUCCCCCUGUACUUCUCUUUUUUGUCUAUCACCCGGCGCUCUUUCUCCAGGUCUUUGAUCGCACACCACCAUGCUCUGGUGUCGCUUUAUCUUGCUGAUCCUCAUGGUGUUGUUCACCGGGUGCAUCAUCGCCUCGAUACUCCUCCCUAUAUUCCGUAAAGAAUCGAAUGACACCGACAUGGCGAUGCGCAGAGUAUUCUUCUGGUACAACGAGACGGUCAGGACCUCCGACUCCCCUCCCGAGGAUUUGAUUAUACGCUUCUACACACGAAAUUUGUUGUGCCUGAAGGCUAGGGCGCUCUUCCUUUUGAUGUCGGCCUUGUCCCUGAUGGCCGCCGGGGUCGCCGUUGUUGCAUGCCUCAUGCUCGCCUGCUGGACGACGGCCGGAUACAGCAUCUGCAUCAGCGUCACCUCCCUCGUGCUGUCCAUUUUCGCCAUGCUGUUCUCAAUGGUGGUGCUGGCUGCGUCAACGGUCGUCUUCAAACAAGACUUCUGCGUCAACCAGACCGAGGCCUACCUGCAGGCCCCGCAGAAGAAUGGCUACCGUCUUGUGGAGGGCUUCUUCCUCCUGUGCAUCGCCGUCGGCGGCUUCUUGCUCAUGUUCAUAACGCUGGUGGUGUGUCUCUGCUGCGAAUGCCGAUCGCGGUCGCAGCCCUGUGGGCAGGAUCACGGCAGAAAAACCGACAGCAACAACCUCCCAAAUAGCGGUGCAUAUCUGAGCGCCACUCACAGCUCGUAGAAGAACAUGGCGAAGCGUAACUUGUUCUGCCGUUUCCGAGGGAGGGGGUGUGGAGGCGGUGCCGCACCUGCUCCCAUGCAAGACAGGUAUCGACACGCGCACACAACAAGUGACGCAGAGACACACACACGCACACAGGCACAGGCACAGGCACAUUGCCACACCGCCGCCGUACAGGCUCGAAGUGCCGCUCCCGCUCCCCCCUCGUUUCUGUGCGGGUGUUGCUCGUCGUAGCAGCCGCAUCUCCCUCCUCCUCCUCAUCUGAUUCUCCGCUGUUGGUACGCGCUGCUUUGUUUUUGUUGCCUCCUCUUCACUUGCCGAUGCGUCACGGCUCACACGUUCUCCAGCGUUUUUUCUUUCGGUUCUUGGUGGUGGUCGGGUGCGGUAGGGGUCGGUGGCAUCACUGCACACAUGCCCCGCGCCCUCUCCCCAUCAUCAUCUGUUUCUCUUUCUCUCUCUCUGCCUCUUGCCCUGGCUGCACCCCACCCCAUCCCUCCUCUUUCUACAACCAACAGUUCCGACGCGCAUGUACACAACAACACUGUAGAACCGGUGACGGCAUCUCAUGCUUUUUUUUUACUCUGAUCCUUUCCCUCUCCCUCUCCUGCUCACCUGCUUCCUCUUUCCGUAUGGAGCGAUGGGAACCUUUGCUUGUUCGCCCAGGACAGACCGACAGAGAGGGAUCCCCCCUCCCCCCCCUUCGUCUCUUCCUCGCUCGCCUCCAGAGGCACAGCGAUGCACACAUCGCGCGCGUCGGCCGAACGAGGGAGGCGAAGAGGAUACGUAUAAAGACGCACGCGACAAGGCUAAGGCACCAUACACGUUGUGAAUGCCAUGCGCAUGCGUGCGUGCGUGUGUGUGUGUGCCUGCGCCUGCAUUGUGCGUGUUGCUCGUUUCUGUUAAGGAUCGUUCUGUGCUCUACAUCCAAAGGACGAUCCUCCCCCACACCCCCUUCUUCUAAAUGUUCCGCCAGCGGUGCUGCCGUUGUCGUGGCGGUGCCGUUUCCAUGUGCGUUGAGAGUUGCAUAUCGCUAUCCACGACAGCGACGCGGGGACGGACACAGCACUGGGUUGAACUCACAUGCUUGUGCCCAAUGGGCGACUGCCUCUGCCUUUCCCUCUCCCUUUAUUUCAUUGCGGUGCUGAGGAUGAUGAUGAUGGCUGCUUCUUCCUUUUUCUUGCUUGCUGUAGCUAGGUAGCUAUGCCUGUUUUCUGUGUGCGUGCAUGCAUUCUUUUACGCAUUUGCCUCCUCCUCAUCCUCAUCGUCCGCCUUAUUGUUGCUUCUUCCUUCUCUCUCUUCAGUCGAUGGCAUCAUCGUCGUGUUUGUCGCCGUGGCCAUCAUCUACGUCUCGUGUACGGUCAACUAUUUCUGUCUGCUUGCGUACAUUUUCGAGAGAUGUGUGUGUGUGUGUGGGUAGGUUGUGUGUGUGCUUCGUCCUGGGCACUCGGCCGCUCACCAUCUGUGCCCCUCUCGUCCUUUCUUUCUCUUGCUUGUUGCCUUGCUGCACUUAAGCCAUACAGUGAUUCGGCUCGUUUUACCUUGUGUGUAUGUGUGUGUGUGUGUAAGUCGUUUUUCUUUUCCCUCCCGCCUUUGAAACAGGAACCCAACGAAGGGGCAUCUCCAUGAGGUGUGAGAGCCCCCAUGCCCGUACGCGCGCCGCCAACCCACGGCUCACCACACCUCCUGCAGCUGGCUAGCUAGCGAGCCAUAUACGUGUAUCUGUACGGGUAUUAGCACACGCGCACGCGCACUCAGCGAACGGUGAAGGAAGAGAGGAAGGGAACCAUACCUACACACACGCACACGGC